AGCGAACGCUGGCGGCAGGCUUAACACAUGCAAGUCGAGCGGGCGUAGCAAUACGUCAGCGGCAGACGGGUGAGUAACGCGUGGGAACGUACCUUUGGUCGGAACAACACAGGGAAACUUGUGCUAAUACCGGAUAAGCCCUUACGGGGAAAGAUUUAUCGCCGAAAGAUCGGCCCGCGUCUGAUUAGCUAGUUGGUGUGGUAACGGCGCACCAAGGCGACGAUCCUUAGCUGGUCNG
rnacentral:rRNA from 1 species